AUUGAACGCUGGCGGCCGGCCUAACACAUGCAAGUCGAGCGAGCGGCGGACGGGUGAGUAAUGUCUGGGAAACUGCCUGAUGGAGGGGGAUAACUACUGGAAACGGUAGCUAAUACCGCAUACCAUCAGAUGUGCCCAGAUGGGAUUAGCUGGUGGUGGGGGGAACGGCUCACCUAGGCGACGAUCCCUAGCUGGUCUGAGAGGAUGACCAGCCACACUGGAACGGAGACACGGGCCAGACGCCUACGGGAGGCAGCAGUGGGGAAUAAGGCACAAUGGGAGCAAGCCUGAUGCAGCCAUGCCGCGUGUGUGAAGAAGGCCUGCGGGUUGUAAAGCACUUUCAGCGGGGAGGCGUUACCCGCAGAAGAAGCACCGGCUAACUCCGUGCCAGCAGCCGCGGUAAUUC
rnacentral:rRNA from 1 species